rnacentral:rRNA from 1 species
GUCCACGCCCUAAACGAUGAACACUAGGUGUUGGAGGUCUCGACCCCUCCAGUGCCGACGCUAACGCAUUAAGUGUUCCGCCUGGGUAGUACGAUCGCAAGAUUAAACUCAAAGGAAUAGACGGGACCCGCACAAGCGGUGGAGCAUCUGGUUUAAUUCGAUAGUAAGCGAGGAACCUUACCACGGUUUGACAUCCCGCGGAGUCUGCCGAAAGGCGGAUGUGCCGUAAGGAACGCGGUGACAGGUGCUGCAUGGUUGUCGU